rnacentral:rRNA from 1 species
AGCUCCAAUAGCGUAUAUUAAAGUUGUUGCAGUUAAAAAGCUCGUAGUUGAACUUCAGGCCUGGCCGGUCGGUCCGCUUCACAGCGUGUACUGCUUGGCCGGGCCUUCCCUCUAGGUGAUCCGGCAUGCUCUUUACUGGGUGUGUCGGGGAACCUGGACUUUUACUUUGAAAAAAUUAGAGUGUUCAAAGCAGGCCUAUGCCCGAAUAUAUUAGCAUGGAAUAAUAAAAUAGGACGUGCGUUUCUAUUUUGUUGGUUUCUAGAAUCGCCGUAAUGAUUAAUAGGGAUAGUUGGGGGCAUUAGUAUUCACAUGCUAGAGGUGAAAUUCUUGGAUUUUGUGAAGACUAACUUCUGCGAAAGCAUUUGCCAAGGAUGUUUUCA